rnacentral:lncRNA from 1 species
AGUACCCACAUCUUUACAGUUUUCCGACUUGGAGAAGUGGAUCAGGUCAUCGUUGUACAUGUCCUGGGUAUUGAGCAGGUCACUAUACUCCUUCUGGCUGAGAUCUUCGGGGUUAAUCCCAUUGGCCCUGAGGAAUUCCUGGUAUGCCACGCUAAAUGCCUGUCCGAUGGACUGUGCAAUCAGCUGAGCCUGUUGGGAAUGAAGCCAAGCUUUUUCUUGACUGUAAUAAAGACAAAGAGGUUUCAAAA